AACUUGACAUGAGGAUUGUUUUGAGAUGGUGACUCUGUGGUGCGCAGGCGCAGCUAAGAACGGGACAAAAGAGAAAACCAGGGAAUUUAUUAAGCUUAGGGCGAAGAUGGACCACAUGAUCACCGGAGCAACGUAUUCGGCGGCUGUGGCAUGGAGACUAUUCUGGAGAAAAUGGGCAUCCAGGGGAAGGUGACAGCGAUGACCAGCUUCUGGAGCUGAUCAGGGAGGACAUGAGGCUGCAGAGGGAGGCAGAGCUGCAGAGGGCACAGGAGAGAAGGGAGAACUUUGACAGCUUUUUACUUUGCUAGAAAAAAUGGUUAAGAAAGAUUAAACAUGUACAUUUAAAAGAAAUAUCUAAAUAAAAUCAGUUCUGCAUUAAA